rnacentral:lncRNA from 1 species
GCCGAGCAGUCCCGGAGGCUCAGUGAGCACGGGGAGGGGCUAGAGGCAGGCUGGACAACCAUUAACAAGCUGGGGCCUUGCGGCUCGGGGACUACAUUUCCCAGGGGGCAUAGCGGCCGCUACCGGAAGCAGCUCACAUUAGGCCCAGUACGCAGGCGCACGAGCCGCCUUGGUCUAUAUAAGGAAGGU